rnacentral:rRNA from 1 species
CCUACGGGGAGCAGCAGUGGGGAAUAUUGGGCAAUGGGCGAAAGCCUGACCCAGCAACGCCGCGUGAAGGAAGAAGGCUUUCGGGUUGUAAACUUCUUUUGACAGGGAAGAGCAGAAGACGGUACCUGUCGAAUAAGCCACGGCUAACUACGUGCCAGCAGCCGCGGUAAUACGUAGGUGGCAAGCGUUGUCCGGAUUUACUGGGGGUAAAGGGCGGGUAGCCGGGCUGACAAGUCAGAUGUGAAAUCCGGGGGCUCAACCCCCGAACUGCAUUUGAAACUGUUGGUCUUGAGUAUCGGAGAGGCAGGCGGAAUUCCUAGUGUAGCGGUGAAAUGCGUAGAUAUUAGGAGGAACACCAGUGGCGAAGGCGGCCUGCUGGACGACAACUGACGGUGAGGCGCGAAAGCGUGGGGAGCAAACAGGAUUAGAUACCCGUGUAGUC